UGGCUCUCGCAUCGAUGAAGAACGCAGCGAAAUGUGAUAAGUAAUGUGAAUUGCAGAAUUCAGUGAAUCAUCGAAUCUUUGAACGCAUCUUGCGCUCUCUGGUAUUCCGGAGAGCAUGCCUGUUUGAGUGUCAUGAACUCUUCAACCCACCAGUUCCUUGUGAAUUGAUUGGUGUUUGGAUUUUGAGCGCUGCUGGCCUUUUGGCGAAGCUCGUUCGUAAUACAUUAGCAACUCAAUUUCGUAUUUUCGGAUUGACUCGGCGUAAUAGACUAUUCGCUGAGGACACUUCGGUGGCCGAAUUACGAGGUAGAAGCUUCCAAUUCUUCUAGUCAAACCUUUAAGAUUAGACCUCAAAUCAGGCAGGAUUACCCGCUGA
rnacentral:misc_RNA from 1 species